rnacentral:rRNA from 1 species
UACGAAGGGUGCUAGCGUUGUUCGGAAUCACUGGGCGUAAAGCGCACGUAGGCGGUCCGCACCAGUCAGGCGUGAAAGCCCCAGGCUCAACCUGGGAAUUGCGCUUGAUACUAGCGGGCUAGAGGCCGGGAGAGGGUAGUGGAAUUCCCAGUGUAGAGGUGAAAUUCGUAGAUAUUGGGAAGAACACCAGUGGCGAAGGCGGCUACCUGGACCGGUUCUGACGCUGAGGUGCGAAAGCGUGGGGAGCAAACAGG